AUGGCUCAUUAAAUCAGUUAUCGUUUAUUUGAUAAUACCUUACUACUUGGAUAACCGUGGUAAUUCUAGAGCUAAUACAUGCUGAAAAUCCCGACUUCGGAAGGGAUGUGUUUAUUAGAUAAAAAACCAAUGCCCUUCGGGGCUUUUUGGUGAUUCAUGAUAACUUUACGGAUCGCAUAGCCUUGCGCUGGCGACGGUUCAUUCAAAUUUCUGCCCUAUCAACUUUCGAUGGUAAGGUAUUGGCUUACCAUGGUUUCAACGGGUAACGGGGAAUUAGGGUUCGAUUCCGGAGAGGGAGCCUGAGAAACGGCUACCACAUCCAAGGAAGGCAGCAGGCGCGCAAAUUACCCAAUCCCGACACGGGGAGGUAGUGACAAUAAAUACUGAUACAGGGCUCUUUUGGGUCUUGUAAUUGGAAUGAGUACAAUUUAAACCUCUUAACGAGGAACAAUUGGAGGGCAAGUCUGGUGCCAGCAGCCGCGGUAAUUCCAGCUCCAAUAGCGUAUAUUAAAGUUGUUGCAGUUAAAAAGCUCGUAGUUGAAACUUGGGCCUGGCUGGCGGGUCCGCCUCACCGCGUGCACUCGUCCGGCCGGGCCUUCCUUCUGAAGAACCUCAUGCCCUUCACUGGGCGUGCUGGGGAAUCAGGACUUUUACUUUGAAAAAAUUAGAGUGUUCAAAGCAGGCCUUUGCUCGAAUACGUUAGCAUGGAAUAAUAAAAUAGGGCGUGCGUUUCUAUUUUGUUGGUUUCUAGAGACGCCGCAAUGAUUAACAGGAACAGUCGGGGGCAUCAGUAUUCAGUUGUCAGAGGUGAAAUUCUUGGAUUUACUGAAGACUAACUACUGCGAAAGCAUUUGCCAAGGAUGUUUUCAUUAAUCAGUGAACGAAAGUUAGGGGAUCGAAGACGAUCAGAUACCGUCGUAGUCUUAACCGUAAACUAUGCCGACUAGGGAUCGGGCGAUGUUCUUUUUCUGACUCGCUCGGCACC
rnacentral:rRNA from 1 species